rnacentral:rRNA from 1 species
CGGUAAUUCCAGCUCCAAUAGCGUAUACUAAAGUUGUUGCAGUUAAAAAGCUCGUAGUUGGAUUUCUGCGGGGACGGAGCGGCCGGUCGCAACUUGCGACUCGAGCUAGCGCUUUCCCCGCAUCCUGCCGCGAACCGUGCUACCAUUAGUUUGGUGGCGCUGGGGAUCGGCUCGAUUACUUUGAGAAAAAUAGAGUGUUCAAAGCAGGCCACACGCCUUGAAUAAGUUAGCAUGGAAUAAUGACUAAGGACUUUGGUUCUUUUCGUUGGUGUUCGGGACUGAAGUAAUGAUUGAUAGGGACAGUUGGGGCGGUCCGUAUUCCAAAGCGAGAGGUGAAAUUCUUAGACCUUCGGAAGACGAACAGCUGCGAAAGCGUUCCGCAAGGAUGUUCCCUUUGAUCAAGAACGAAAGUUGGGGGAUCGAAGACGAUCAGAUACCGUCGUAGUCUCAACUAUAAACUAUACCAGCUAGGGAUCGGCCAACGUUUAAUUAUUCGACUUGGUCGGCACCUUAUGAGAAAUCAAAGCAUCUGGGUUCCGGGGGGAGUAGGGUCGCAAGGCUGAAACUUAAAGGAAUUGACGGAAGGGCACCACCAGCCGUGGAGCCUGUGGCUUAAUUUGACUCAACACGGGAAAACUUACCAGGUCCGGACAUAGUAAGGAUUGACAGAUUGAUAGCUCUUUCUUGAUUCUGUGGGUGGUGGUGCAUGGCCGUUUUUAGUCGGUGGAUGUGAUCUGUCUGCUUAAUUGCGUUAACGGACGAGACCCCAGCCUGCUAAAUAGCGCGGCCGAGCUUUGCUCGGUGCGAGCUUCUUAGAGGGACCAUGAUGCGCGAUAGCACAAGGAAGUUUGGGGCAAUAACAGGUCUGUGAUGCCCUUAGAUGUUCUGGGCCGCACACGGGCUACACUGGCGCCUGCAACGAGCAUAUCAGCUGGCCCGAGAGGGUCUUGGCUAAUCUUUGGAACCGGCGCCGUGCUUGGGAUUGACCAUUGCAAUUGUUGGUCAUGCAACGAGGAAUGCCUUGUAAACGCGAGUCAUCAGCUCGCAUUGAAUACGUCCCUGCCCCUUGUACACACCGCCC